UACCUGUCCAAAACAGAACGACCCGCGAACUAACUAUCAUCACUUGCGGUGGGCCGGUUUCUUAGCAGAUCCCGUGCCCGCUGAAUCCUCGGUUUCGCGUGCUGUUCUGCUCGGGAGAUCCUCCCGGACGGGAAGUGCGUGUAGCUUAUGGAUAUCACAACAACCCGGCACGAAAAGUGUCAAGGAACAUGCAACCGAACGGCCAGCUUUCGUCUCCCCGGAGACGGUGCGAGUGCGAAUGCUGCGCUGCGAUGUAAAGUCUAAAACGACUCUCGGCAACGGAUAUCUCGGCUCUCGCAUCGAUGAAGAACGUAGCGAAAUGCGAUACUUGGUGUGAAUUGCAGAAUCCCGUGAACCAUCGAGUCUUUGAACGCAAGUUGCGCCCCAAGCCUUCUGGCCGAGGGCACGUCUGCCUGGGCGUCACAAAUCGUCGUCCCCCUCAAUUCUUUUGCGGGUAUUGGACGGAAGCUGGUCUCCCGUGUGUAACCGCACGCGGUUGGCCAAAAUCCGAGCUAAGGAUGCGUGGAGCGUCCCGACAUGCGGUGGUGAAUACAAGCCUCUUCAUAACGUCUGUCGCUCCUAUCCGUAAGCUCUCGAUGACCCAAUGUCCUCAAAGCGACC
rnacentral:rRNA from 1 species